AAAUGUGAGGGGCAUGCGAGGGCUGUCGCUGACUCAAGUCGUGCACGCCCGGGUGUGUCCCCUCACAUAAUAAUCCAUCUCACCCUUUGUGCAUCACCGCGUGGGCACCCUUUGGGAUCAAUCUCGGAGGGGGCUCGCGUUUUCACACAAACCCCCCUUUUAAAAAGUGUAUGAAUGUCCUCAUUUAUGCGCUAACCCGCAAUCAAUACAACUUUCAACAACGGAUCUCUUGGCUCUCGCAUCGAUAAAUAACGCAGCGAAAUGCGAUACGAAAUGUGAAUUGCACAAUUCAGUGAAUCAUCGAAUCUUUGAACGCACCUUGCGCCCCUUGGUAUUCCGAGGGGCACACCCGUUUGAGUGUCGUGAAAACCUCAACCUCCUUGGUUUCUUCUGGANACCAAAGCAGGCUUGGACUUUGGAGGCCUUUGCUGGCACCUCUGUUGGAGGCCAGCUCCUCUUAAACGAAUUAGCAGGGUCCUCUUUGCUGAUCCUUGACGUGUGAUAAAAUGUUUCCAUGUCUUGGUUUCCGGCUCUGUCACUUUUGGGACCCGCUUCUAACCGUCUGGACCUUGCGUCGAGACAAUGUUCGAGCAUGUCUCCCUUCUCGGGAAGCUCCCUCGACCCCACNAACCCUUGACCUCAAAUCGGGUGAGACUACCCGCUGAACUUAAGCAUAUCAAUAAGCGGA
rnacentral:rRNA from 1 species